GGGUCCGACCAUACCAGCACUAAUGCACCGGA
rnacentral:rRNA from 1 species